rnacentral:lncRNA from 1 species
UGAUGCUGUGCUACUAACCCGGCCCUACUAACUGAUUUCUCUUCUUACUAACCCAGCCCUGCCGAGCUCUGGGC